rnacentral:lncRNA from 1 species
CCUUGCCAUGCCCGUUUCUUUUGCCACGUCGGCCGUGCUCUGCCCUGGAUUCUGGUUGAUCUUUUCCUCCAAUUCAGAGACACAUUUGUCGCUCCUCUUGCAAUCGGGUCACUUUCUGUGUUUCGCUUGGUCGGGAAUGGGGUUCUCUGGACCUAGACUCUCUGGGUCUCUUGGCUUCUUGUGGCGGAGCCAUGCAAUGGUUUCCUUUGGCGUUUUUCUCACACAGAGCGAUUCAAUAAUGGCUGCCCUCCGAUCGUAUUCGCAACUUGUUGAAGUAAAAGUCGCUAUUUUAUCAAUUAUUAAUUACUU